rnacentral:lncRNA from 1 species
AUGAACAUAUCAGACAAAGCCCCUUUUAUGUCUAAGGCUACUGGUGGUUUUUGGAAACUAGUGACUGAAUAUAGACAUACUAUAUACAUAGUGUUUUUACUAAGUAAAAUUUUAUUGAAUAUAUGCUAUAUUUCUAUGAUUAGUGAGUGGAAUGAAGGGGCAAACAAGGUGAGAAAGAUAAAGGAAUUGGGGUGAACUGAGAAAAACAGAGAACCACUCAGUCAAUCAUAUUCAUAGUGGGGUUAAGUUGUAACAGCAAAAUUUCCAUGAGUGUUUUGCAACACAUGGGAACAAAUUCAACUUAGAGUGAAGGGGCUGAUGAGCCUAGCUAACCCUACCAGUCUCCUCUCCAUGUUAAUAAUGCUUCAAAAAAAUCACAAAAUCUCCCCAGUACUCUGUCCAAACCAACCUGAGACUCUCUUCUGCUCUUUUUACAGAUUACACACUGGGAAAGAUCAGAAUUGUAAAAAGGAUGUCAUUUACAUAAGAAUCAGCAAGAUGAUCAUCAAAUGACCUCACUGACCUCAGUGAGGGUCAUUUACUUUACUCUCAUUGUCUCAUAGGUCAGCUUAAUUUAUGUCAUACAGCUAAUAUGUUUUGCGAACUGAAUCUCCCCAUAGAAAUACACUGAUGUCAUUGCAGGGAAGUCCCAUAAGCAUUUGAUGGAAAAUUUAACUUUGCAUUGUAAAGAACAUAAUUAUUGACACGGACCUAUUUGUAGUCCUGCAUUUUCAUUAUUUAAUCCCAAAUGUUUUUGAGAUCAGAGUUCAUAUUUUGAAACUCUAUGAACUUAACACCAUAACAAAAGCAAUGUGAUGUUAUAAAUGUUCUCUCUCCAGAGCAUUCAGGUAAUGGAAGUAUUCAAAUGUAGUUUUACUUUUAAUAUUAGCAUCUCUAAUUGUUUAUUUAUCUGAAUAACUUAGUAUUUUUUUCAUUGCUUACAGAUUUCAACUUAUCAUUCUAGCCCUUCUCUCAACUGAAGGCUAUGGGAAAUGAGAUUUAAACUCAAUUCAUGCUGACCUUUUCUUGAUUAUAAGAUAAAUCUUCAAAAUAGACAGGUAAGAACACAGCUUAGCUCUAUGACAUAAUUUAGGCAAGUACCUUGAAAGUUAUUUCUAACAUUGCUUAUGUUCUCAAAUGGCUUUGCUUUAAUAUUUUAAUCCCAGAAAAUGUCCACCUGCACAUUUAUUUUGAUAUUUUGAUUAGGGAAAUACAAACCAAUUUUGACCAUAGAAUUCAUAUAAUUAGACACACUGGCCAAUAUACCCUAAUGGAUCACUAAGUAAAGAUAGAAGAUAGCCUUUGAGAGAAAUAAAAUUUGUUCUCAAAAAUCCCAUUAAGCUUUAAGAUUUUUCUUUUUCUAAGAUUACAAAACUAAAAGAUACAGGCAAACGUAUUGUUAUCAACUUUUAAACUACCGUGACAUAUUUCAGAAAAUUGUACUUAAGUUUCGUAGGAAACAGGUAAAUAGUAGAGAGGUUAAUUCAGAUAAGACGAUGAUUCAUACAAUUUUUUCAAUGACAUAUUUUGUCUAAUUGCCUUUGUAGGCUAUUCUUCAAAAUUAGCAGACUCAAUUUGCAAAAACCCAAGAGGUAACUGAGGAUCAGCAGUAGUACACUGACAACAAGUUAACCCAUCUCAGGCCUUUGGAAUGAAGCUAGGAUUGGAAUCCUACUGCUCCUUCUCUAUAGAAUGAAACAACUCCUAUAAGAAGUAGAAGCCAUAGCUAUGCUCAAAGGUCUUCAAAUCUAGUAAGGAAACUGUGCAUCAUUAUGAAAAAAAUAGCCUUGUCGAUUAUACACAAGCAAACUUAGAGUGUGGUGGGUAUAUGGGAUACGCUGGAGGUUGAAGGAAAGUGAUAAUCAGUGUGGUCUGGAGCAUUUAGUUAAAACUUUAUUAAGUAGCAUUAUAUGUAAACUAUGCAUCGCAUAAAGAAUGAAAGGAUUUAGAAAUAUUGGCAAAAAUGGACAGGAACGAUGGCAUGGACAGAGUUAGUUUUUAUCAAAAUGGAUGUAAUACCAGAAAAAGGAAUGAGAGAUGAUUAUAGAUAUUAUUUCCUUGGAUAUCCAAAGUAAUUUUCUUUAAAGACAAAGGUCCUCUUCUUAAUACUUAGUGAUCUUCACACAAUUCCUAAGAUAUAAAGUUAAAUUAUCUGACAUAUUCUAUUUUUAAGCAUUCACACCACUGGGAGAGUAUAUGAAAAACUUUUUACUAGGUUAAAAAAAUGUGUAUAUAUGAAAAUUGAUUUUAAGUUCAUUUUAAGUAUCUUUACUGCAAAAAACCAAUGCUGUUAUUUAUCAACCAUGAAACAAAUAUGGAUAUGCUAGAUCUGUACACACUUCAUGCAUGAAUUUAUAAUGACAAAACUUGUCCACUGUAAGCAUUCUCCUUGGAAAUAUAAGAAUAUUCAUGUGAUGCUGAUUUCCAGAGUCGAAGUUAUGAAGCUGACAUUUUAGAGGAAUGAGUAUCCCCUAGAUAUUUGUGUGACUGCAUCUAGAGGGUAAGAGAGGUUUGAAGAACACCUCUCUUUGCCAUAGAAAGAAAAUUAGGAAGAAAAUAAUACAUACCCUAAAUUAGACUCCUGUAUUUCCAGGA